CCCCUGAACAGGGUGCCUGAAUUCCACUGUAUGCGGCACAGAGGGGAGCUGCUCAGCCAUGCUGUGAGAAUGCUCUACAAUAAGCUGAUAGGAAUAGUUAGGUACUAUCUAGGUGUUUUUUAUUGUUAUUUUCUUUGGUUAGGCAUUUCAUUUGCUCAAGAUGUUGAGUGAGGUGUUACAACAGUGUUUCCUGCCCCAUUCAUCUCUGCAUUCUGGAAGUGGGAUGGAAGAAGCACAGCCAUGUGUAGACAUAGCAGAUGGGUCAGGGAUAACGAGCACCAUCAAUUAUAAGCAGCACCAAAGGCAAAUCCUGCCUGACCAACCUCGUGGCCUUCUGUAAUGGCAUAACUGCAUCAGUGGACAGGGGAAGAACCACUGAUGGCAUCCAUCUGGACUUCAGUCAGGCCUCUGACAUGGCAGCCCACAGCAUCCUUCACUCCAAAUUGGAAAGAUACAGAUUUAUGGGUUGUCUAUUUGACGAAUGAAGAAUUGGUUUGCAAGAUCAUACGCAGAGAUUGGUGAUCAGUGGUUAAUGGUCCGUCUGGAUAGCACUGAUGAAUAGUUUCCCUCAGUACUGAUGCUCUUUAAUAACUUCAUGAAUGACAUUGAGAUGGGGUGCACCCUUGGAUGACACCGAGCUGUGUGGUGCAGUCAACAUGCCUGAAGGACAGGAUGCCUGAGAGUCCUGAACUGGCUUGAGCAGUGAGCCAGAGCACUGACCUCGUGAGGUUCAGUGAAUCCAAGUGCAAGGUCUUGCAUCUGGAUUAUGGUAACCCCCACUAUCAGUACAGGCUUGGGGAUGGAAGGAUAGAUGGAUGGAUAGCCCUGCUGAAAGGGACCUGGGAGUACUGGUGAAUGGCAGGCUGGACACGAGCCAGCAAUGUGUCCUCUUAGCUCAGAAAGCCAACAGGAUCCUGGGCUGCAUCAAAAGAAGCAUGGCCAGUGGGGCAAGUGAGGUGAUCCUGUGCUGGUGAGACCUCAUCUGAAGUUCUGUGUCCAGAUGUGGAGUCCUCAGUAGAGGAAAGACAUGGAGCACAUUCAGAGAUAAGCCACAAAAACAAUUCAAGGGAUGGAACACCUCCUUUAUGAAGACAGACUGAGAGAGAUGGGGCUUCAGCCUGGAGAAGGCUCCAAGGUGACCUAAUAGUGUCUUCAGUAUCUAAACAGAGGCUGUAAAAAAGAAGAGGAUGGACUCUUUAGCAAGGUCUGUUGUAGUAUGACAAGGGGAAAUGGUUUCAAACUAAAAAAGCAGAGAUUUAGACUGGAUACAAGGAAAAAGUUUUUUAUUAUAAGAGUGGUGAAGCACUGGAACAGAUUGCCCGGAGAAGCAGUGAAAGCCUCAUCCCUGGAAAAUUCAAGGCCAGGCCAGGCAGGGCUCUGAGCAACCUGAUCUAGCUGUAGAUGUCCCUGUUUGUUGCAGGAAGAUUGGACUAGGUGACCUUUGAAGGUCCCUUCCAACUCAAGCAGUUCUAUGACCAUUUAUUGUGGACAGUGUAGGGCACUUUCUGCAGAUGUGCAUGCAAUAUAUAGAGAACAUACAAAAUCGUGCUUGUAAUAAAAAUGGUGUCAGGAGACUGAAAAAAAACCCAGUUAAACCAACUAUAAAAAGUUCUGUAGUUAAAAUUCAGGCUAUUCAAACAAUUCCUUUAUUAAACAUUUUUUAUCAAAAAGCCAAAAUGAAAUACUUAUUUUAUUUUUUUUACAAACUCUGCUUUUAGUUCUAAGUGAUCAUACAGCUGUGAAAGACCCUAAUAGAGAUAUUUACCUCUUUUCCCCGCUUCUGUUGGUGGACAGAUGCUUUUUUCCAUCUGUGUUCAGAUGAUAAGCAUUAUUAGUAGUAAGCCUUCCCUGUUUUGGUCUCAGUAGGGUUACUGCCUUUCCAAUUACCCUGUCCUGCUGUUGUAAACUGAUAAACUUACCACACUGCCUUCCUGCAUUUCCACUAGGGAGUCCGUUACCUGUUCUAGGAAAAAUAGGUUAAUUAGAGGCUUUUGAGGUCAAAGAAAUGGCCUUGAUUUGGGAAAUGAAGGAAAAAACUGUCUUUCAUGCUAUCAUUUUUCUUGACAUUACAAUGAGAUAAUGAUUUAUGAGUUUUGACAGUACUUCAUUAAAAAUAGCUGAGCUCCUGUUAUCCAUUACUGUCACCUCUGAUUAGUUUGCAUGUGGCUACGACUGUAUUCUCCCUACAUAAUUUAUCUCCUAGAAAAAAAAAAAUCACAUCUGUGAAUGGAAAAUAGAAUAUAAUUUUGUUUGAUAUUUUAACUACCCAGUUAAGGAAGACUCAGAGUUGCCAGGAGAACAAAUUUUGUAUGUGACAAAAAAACUCUGUCUUUCUACUUAACUAGAUAUAAUAAGCAGAGAUCGAAUCGAGCUAUUUGCCUAUCAUGGAGUUCUACACAUUCUUUGGAAACAUUUGGAGCUGGAGACCCCCAUAGCUGGGAAACCAGAUUAAACAGAUGAUGGGACAAAUCCCACACUAAAUUCAUUAUCGUUCGAUGCAGAGGGCUCUCAUGAAAUUUACUGCAUCCUUGCCCUUCCAGCUGGAAAACAGUUGCAGACCAGGCAAGAAGCUCAGCAUGGGAUUUCAGAGAAAAUAAAGCACGGAACUAUUUUUCUGUUAAGUGGUAAACAAGUAAAUGAAAAAAAUAGAUGCGUGAGACAUGCCUGAGUUAUGAUUUUCACUAGGCAGCCAGACAGAUCAUUUAAGGAUUUAUAACCUUGUCACCUAUUUUAGUGUGAAAUUCAGAUGAUUGCUGCACAACCAUUACAGGCCUCAUGCAGCACCAAAGGGUGGCACUGUAAUGACAGCCACACGCCAAUUCAAAGGACUCUCAAUAAAUCCACGCAGCUUAAUGUGCACUGAAGAAAGCUGAAUUCAGAUUGCUGCGUUCUACUGAAUGUAAGUAAGAGGUCAUUGGCAAACAUUGACAGGAGUCAUGGAAUCAUGGAAUGGCUUGGGUUGGAAGGGACCCUAAGGCUCAUCAUGUCCCAACCCCCAUACCUCUGGAAGGGCUGCCAGCCUCUAGGUCACAUACUAGAGCAGUUUGUCCAGGGCUCACCCAACCUGGCCUUGAAUACCUCCAGGGAUGGGGCAUCCACAGCCUCUGUGGCAGCCUGUUCCAGCCCCUCACCACUCUCAGUAAAGAACUUCCCUGACAUCUCAUCUAAAUCUCCCUUCCUUUUGUUUAAAACCAUUCCCCAUUUCCUAUCACUAUCUACCAGUGUAAAGCACAAAUGAGGAGCAAGUUUUUAGGUGGAAUGAUGAUUUCUAUUUCUCAAAGAAGACAAAAGUACUACGUCAAGUGUCUUUGAAAAAUAAAAGUUCUUGGACUUGA